GAAUCGGCAUUGUGGAAUGCUCCUGUGCUCUAUAUACAAGGUCUGUUGGAGCUGUGCUCUCAGUUUACACUGGAGAAGAUGAAGCUGAGGGUCUUCAGAUGUGUAGGAUACCAACAGGAAGACAAUUCAUGCAAAAUAUUGCAACAGAUUUGUCCACACCCCCUGGAAGGAUGGGAGCUUGGUUCAUGUCAGCAUUACCAAGGAGAAGUGCAAAUGGUACCGUGAAAAAGUUCACAUAGUCCUGGCCAGGAUCCAAAGGAGGAUUAAAUGGCUACAAGAUGGGAGCCAACUCCUCUUUGGAAAGGUGCAUAAAGACUGUAUCUACGUCCUCAUUGACACAUCUCACUCAAUGAAGAGCAAACUGAACUUGGUGAAGGAUAAGAUCAUUUGGUUCAUACAGGUGAGAUGGACUGACUAUCAAAUUUGCACACUUGGAGCCUGUGUAUCAUAAAUGCAUCUCCAAAAGUCGUUGCCUGUAGCAU